UCCAUUUCUGUCCCCCAAGGUACAAUCUACACAAAAGUACCCCAUAGGGCUCAUUAUUGGACCUCAAGGUACAUGUAUGUACCUUUUUGAGAGUCAAAAAGGUACAUAUUUGUUCCCAACCAUUAAAAGGAACAUAUAUGUACCAUUUCUUUUAAAGAAUAAGGUACAAUGUUAAGAGACAGCCUCUGUCAUUUUUUUUUAAUUGUUGUUCUAGACAACUGCUGUAAAUAACCAUUGUAACCAUUGUGUCAAUUUUUGUUUCCUUUAGUUGGGCACAUGGGUCUUGACGUAGUUUUAGUUUUCUUCUGUUCAUUGACAGUGUGUUUAAUUUAAUGUUUUAAUUAAAAAAAAGUUAAUUUCACUUAUUAAGAACUGUGAUAUGAACUCAAAAACUGCUAUUGAUUAACCAUAAUUUAAACUGAAUAAAUACUGAAUCUGAAUCCCUCACACAUCCACUGAAGAAACGCGCUUUUAUUUUGACACGCGCCCAUCCCCCCACAUCUCACGGUCGGAGUUGAGCUUCACAGAGCACCGCAACAGGAUGACGACAACAGACAUGAAGAGCAUUAACAGUUCAGCGCAAACGUUUCCCGCGCAAGUUUGAAUCUCUCUCAGUCGGGGUGAUUGACUGACAGACUACGUUACUCUCUACCAAACGGUUAUUCACUUAUAAAACCUUUUAAAGUUUAGCGCAAACGUUUCCUGCGCAAGUUUGAAUCUCUCUGUCAGUCAGGAGGGAGAUUGACUGACUGACUGACUACUCGCCACCCAACAGUCAUUUACCCAGAAACCUUUUAAAGUUUAGCGCAAACGUUUCCUGCGCAAGUUUGAAUCUCUCUGUCAGUCAGGAGGGAGAUUGACUGACUGACUGACUACUCGCCACCCAACAGUCAUUUACCCAGAAACCUUUUAAAGUUUAGCACAAACGUUUCCUGCGCAAGUUUGAAUCUCUCUCAGUCAGUCAGGAGGGAGAUUGACUGACUGACUGACUACUCGCCACCAAACAGUCAUUUACCCAGAAACCUUUUAAAGUUUAGCACAAACGUUUCCUGCGCAAGUUUGGAUCUUUACCAUUCAGGAGACUGGCUGACUGUUCUCAACCAACCAUAAUUCACAUGCAAAAACUUUAAAGAUAAGUAUGAAAGUGCCCAGACCAGUUUUCAAUCUUUAAAUUACCAUUAAGGAGACUGACUGACUAUCAUCUACCACCCGUCAUUAACACAACAAAAAAUAAAGAAAUGUUCCUCCAUAUGGACCUAUUCAUUUACUCAUUAUGCUGUGAGUACACCACAGUUUUAUCAGUGAAAAAAAUUAUAUUUGUGUGUUUUCUCACUGCUUGGCAAGGACAGAUGUGGCCCUGUUAAAAAUGUUUAAAUGUUGUUUGGUUUAAGGAACAGCACACUGAUUUUGUUAUAAAAUAUUCCUGUUUGGACAGUCUGUUAAAGUAAUAAAGGAAUGGUUGAUAUAUUUCAUAAGGAAAGUGUAAAUGUAAUAUUAUAAAACGGCCAGUUCUGGUUCUUCAUUCUGAUUGGUUGAAACGCGUUCUCAGCUGUGAUAAAACUCACCGGUAAACCCACGGCUCAAACCGUAUUACAUAGCUUGUAUCACUGCGCCACUGUUGUUGUGUACUGUAGAAAAUAACUGUCAAAAUGUCGGAUUUUGUUGUCAAUUUUGAUUUAUUGGGUGGGCUAAUUAUAUUAUAUUGUAUUAAUUAUAAUCCUCAACAAUUGAACAAUUAAUGGCGAUAUCCAGAUAAGUGUCAAUAAAUAUUGUUGAGUUUUCUUGUUAAUGCUUCCGUGAGGAGUAGUUGUACCGUAUAUUAUCCACUGGGUGGCGAUCACUGAUCAGUGGUGGCGAUCUUACACAACAUAAACACUGAUGCUUUCACUCAACACUUUAAAACUCAAGUGUAUUUUUUGAUUAGCGAUCUGAAUCGGAUCUCUAAAAAAAGUCAUUCACAGAAAUGGAAUUAUCCCAACAUUUUGCUCAAAAUUUGAGAGGAUAAAAGAACAAUUGAAGGUAGGGUGAAACGUUUUUAUUUUGUUGUUUGAAAGCAGAGGGUCUGUUCUUUCAUUUGAUAUAUUGUAUGUUUAUAUAUCUAAAGAAGAACAUUUUUGUGGAAGGCAUUAAUGUUUAACUAAAGCUGGGUGGCAACUCUUUUAAAAAACGCUGGCAGGGAAAGUGUUAAGCAUGCUUCCAAGCAUAUUUGAUCCACACGUCAACAGUUGCACGGUAUAAAUGUUAAUGUAUAAAUUAGAUGAAUGUUGAUUUAUGAAAAUAAACACCACAGUCUUAAUGAAUCAUAUUUUCAUUGUGUCUUUGCUCCGUCUGUUUUGCUUGGGAACCGCUCUGUUGCAGACACACUUGAGUCUGAGGAACUACUUUGUUUGGCGGAAGACUAAUAUCUGUACUAAUAUAAUUACAACUUAUUUGCUGUGUUUUAUUAUAUGAAAUCCUGCUAUACAUAAUUUGAAGCAACCGUUUUAUAAACGCAAUAAGCCCCGCGAAGCAGUGGGUUACCAGUGCAUUUUAUAACGGCUAAGGGGGUUUUAGGCACUCCGCU